rnacentral:rRNA from 1 species
GACGAACGCUGGCGGCGUGCUUAACACAUGCAAGUCGAACGAAGAGCGACGGAAGCUUGCUUCUAUCAAUCUUAGUGGCGAACGGGUGAGUAACGCGUAAUCAACCUGCCCUUCAGAGGGGGACAACAGUUGGAAACGACUGCUAAUACCGCAUACGAUCUAACCUCGGCAUCGAGGAUAGAUGAAAGGUGGCCUCUACAUGUAAGCUAUCACUGAAGGAGGGGAUUGCGUCUGAUUAGCUAGUUGGAGGGGUAACGGCCCACCAAGGCGAUGAUCAGUAGCCGGUCUGAGAGGAUGAACGGCCACAUUAGGACUGAGACACGGCCCAGACUCCUACGGGAGGCAGCAGUGGGGAAUCUUCCGCAAUGGACGAAAGUCUGACGGAGCAACGCCGCGUGAGUGAUGACGGCCUUCGGGUUGUAAAGCUCUGUUAAUCGGGACGAAAGGCCUUCUUGCGAAUAGUGAGAAGGAUUGACGGUACCGGAAUAGAAAGCCACGGCUAACUACGUG